GAUGAACGCUGGCGGCGUGCCUAAUACAUGCAAGUCGAGCGAACGGACGAGAAGCUUGCUUCUCUGAUGUUAGCGGCGGACGGGUGAGUAACACGUGGAUAACCUACCUAUAAGACUGGGAUAACUUCGGGAAACCGGAGCUAAUACCGGAUGAUAUUUUGAACCGCAUGGUUCAAAAGUGAAAGACGGUCUUGCUGUCACUUAUAGAUGGAUCCGCGCUGCAUUAGCUAGUUGGUAAGGUAACGGCUUACCAAGGCAACGAUGCAUAGCCGACCUGAGAGGGUGAUCGGCCACACUGGAACUGAGACACGGUCCAGACUCCUGCGGGAGGCAGCAGUAGGGAAUCUUCCGCAAUGGGCGAAAGCCUGACGGAGCAACGCCGCGUGAGUGAUGAAGGUCUUCGGAUCGUAAAACUCUGUUAUUAGGGAAGAACAUAUGUGUAAGUAACUGUGCACAUCUUGGCGGUACCUAAUCAGAAAGCCACGGCUAACUACGUG
rnacentral:rRNA from 1 species